rnacentral:misc_RNA from 1 species
AGUUUUAAUUUGCUCCACCAAAUAAUGAUGAAUAGAUUGAAAAUGAAUAAAUGUGCUGUCACUGCCAAAGAGUAGGGGCGAGCACUAUUUGGUUUGAACCAAAUAAACUGAACCGAACCGUCAUAAUUUAGUUCAGCUUUUAUGGUGAUUUGGUUAGGUUCAGUUUGGUUCGAUUUUAGAGUCAAAAAAUUCAGCUAAACCGAACCAAACCAAAUUCCCCAAAACACACCAUUUUGCAAUUUUUAUUCCCUCAUAUACUCUCUCACUCUCAGUUUUUAGUCUCAAGUCUCACAUUCACCCUUCACUGUGCCAUUCUCUCUUUCACUCUCACCUACCACUCGCGGCAUACCCAUCUUGUUCUCCUUUUGUUCAAGCCUUCCCCAGCCAGCCAACACUCUAAAGUCUCGUCGUCGUCAUUGGUCCUUGCCGUCUCCACAUCGCCAGCUCUGUUGAUUGAGGUUUGAACUCAAUUUAUUCCCCAAAGACCCACUGACUCUUCUCAUUAUCAUGCAUCUAGGUCUCCCUUUGAAAACUUAACCCAAAAAACUCAAUGCUCCUAACACCUGGGUCUUGCAUGAUGUCGUUCAGCACUCACCGUGAUGCUGCUUUAGUCUAGAGGUGACUCAAUCGACCUCCUCUUGUUUUUCAUCUCAGAUUCUAAGUAUUUGAUUUCAUUCUCUUCCUAAUUCCAGUUUGUAUUU